rnacentral:pre_miRNA from 1 species
UAGAUGGGCGGACUCUCAGAGUUAGCCUGGAACCAGGCGGACUCUGAGAGUGUGCCUGGCGACCAGGCUAACUCUCAGAGUGUGCCUGGCGACCAGGCACACUCUCAGAGUCCGCCUGGUUCCAGGCUAACUCUGAGAGUCCGCCCAUCUAAUUUUCU